UCUCUCACAAUUUCGUUCACACAUUUCGUCAUUGCCUUAUCCGAUCCCGAGCUCAGUUGUCUCUUCUUUCUCACCCAAAAAAUCAUCAACAGUCCCCCAACCCAAUAAUCAAAAUGCAACAACCACUACCCAUAUCUUGCCCUCCACUUCUCCACCGCCGCCGCAGCAAAUGGCCACCAAAUUAGGGUUUACUCUGACGGCUCCUCGUCUCUUCAGCGCUCGCUUUCGAAAACCCGUUGCUCUUUUCUCUUCCACUUCACCAUCAUCAUCAUCUUCUUCUUCUAGGGUUCGCUUAGUCUCACUCGUUGAUCGACAGCUGUGUGUUCGACGCAGACUGUUUAUUCUUUCCCCCAAGGCCACUACUGACCAGCCAGGUCAAGUCCAAGAAGACGAGGUGGUUGACAGUAAGAUCUUGCCAUACUGUAGCAUAGACAAGAAAGAGAAGAAGUCAUUGGGCGAGCUUGAACAAGAAUUUCUUCAAGCACUACAAGCUUUUUAUUAUGAGGGAAGGGCUAUAAUGUCAAAUGAGGAAUUUGAUAACCUCAAGGAAGAACUAAUGUGGGAAGGAAGCAGCAUUGUCAUGCUAACUUCUGAUGAACAGAAAUUUCUCGAAGCUUCAAUGGCUUAUGUAGCUGGGACGCGGAUAAUGAGCGAUGAGGAGUACGACAAACUGAAGAUGAAACUAAAGAUGGAUGGGAGUGACAUUGUAGUUGAGGGCCCCCGAUGCAGUCUCCGCAGUAGAAAGGUUUACAGUGACCUGUCUGUUGACUAUUUCAAGAUGUUCCUCUUGAAUGUCCCUGCUGCUCUCAUUGCACUAACAUUGUUUUUCUUCCUGGAUGAUUUGACUGGAUUUGAAAUCACAUAUCUUUUGGAGCUUCCAGAGCCAUUCAGUUUCAUUUUCACAUGGUUUGCUGCGUUACCACUCAUAUUGUGGUUAGCUCUAUCAAUUACAAACUUCUUUGUGAAAGACUUUUUGAUCUUGAGGGUAGGAACCUUGAUGUCAUCAUGGCCCUUGUCCAAAUUGUGGGACAGAAAAUGUCUCCUUCUUUGGGACCAUCCUAUCAAUAUCUAAUUGUGGUUCCGCCAACACUGUUAAAUGCUCAAGCUGUGGAACUGAAAUGGUUUAUGAUUCAAACACACGCUUGAUUACACUGCCUGAUGGAAGUAAAGCUUGAGUGGAGGAUGGAUCCAUGUGAAGGGAUAUAUGAUAUGAGAAGUGCUAGAAUGAGUAAGCAAGUGAGGGUUGCCAAGUUAUGCACCUCUGGGAUCACUAUAUCUGUAAAUGAGGCAUUGAAUAUAGUCUUUCAUUGACUGGUUAUAUGCAACACUAAUUUGUAUUUGGUGUGGCCGCAUGUAUAUAACUUAUUCAAGCUUGUCCACUAGAAGAGGUGAACAGUUGUGUUGGGUUGUUCAAACUAAUAGAAUGUCACAUGCUUUACAUGUAAUAUUGAAGCUGUCCCUCAACAUUUUCAUCUUGA